rnacentral:rRNA from 1 species
UACGUAGGGUGCAAGCGUUGUCCGGAAUUACUGGGCGUAAAGCGUGCGCAGGCGGUUUUGUAAGCCAGAUGUGAAAUCCCCGGGCUUAACCUGGGAAUGGCAUUUGGGACUGCAAGGCUCGAGUGCGGCAGAGGAGACUGGAAUUCCUGGUGUAGCAGUCAAAUGCGUAGAUAUCAGGAGGAACACCGAUGGCGAAGGCAGGUCUCUGGGCUGACACUGACGCUCAUGCACGAAAGCGUGGGGAGCAAACAGG